rnacentral:rRNA from 1 species
GAUGAACGCUAGCUACAGGCUUAACACAUGCGAGUCGCGGGGCAGCAUGGGGGUUGCUUGCAAUCCCCGAUGGCGACCGGCGCACGGGUGAGUAACGCGUAUCCAACCUGCCCUUCACCACGGGAUAACCCGGCGAAAGUCGGACUAAUACCGUAUGUUGUCCAUUGACGGCAUCCGAUUUGGACGAAAGGCUUGGCGGUGAGGGAUGGGGAUGCGUCCGAUUAGCCAGACGGCGGGGUAACGGCCCACCGUGGCUACGAUCGGUAGGGGUUCUGAGAGGAAGGUCCCCCACACUGGAACUGAGACACGGUCCAGACUCCUACGGGAGGCAGCAGUGAGGAAUAUUGGUCAAUGGGCGUAAGCCUGAACCAGCCAAGUAGCGUGCAGGAUGACGGCCCUAUGGGUUGUAAACUGCUUUUAUGCGGGGAUAAAGUGGCCCACGUGUGGGCUUUUGCAGGUACCGCAUGAAUAAGGACCGGCUAAUUCCGU